rnacentral:rRNA from 1 species
AGAGUUUGAUCCUGGCUCAGAACGAACGCUGGCGGCAGGCCUAACACAUGCAAGUCGAACGUGAAGCAGGGCUUCGGCCCUGUGGAAAGUGGCGGACGGGUGAGUAACGCGUGGGAAUCUGCCCAGCAGUACAGGAUAACCACGGGAAACUGUGGCUAAUACUGUAUACGCCCUUCGGGGGAAAGAUUUAUCGCUGUUGGAUGAGCCCGCGUCGGAUUAGCUUGUUGGCGGGGUAACGGCCCACCAAGGCUACGAUCCGUAGCUGGUCUGAGAGGAUGAUCAGCCACACUGGGACUGAGACAAGGCCCAGACUCCUACGGGAGGCAGCAGUGGGGAAUAUUGGACAAUGGGGGCAACCCUGAUCCAGCCAUGCCGCGUGAGUGAAGAAGGCCCUAGGGUUGUAAAACUCUUUCAGCGGGGAAGAUGAUGACGGUACCCGCAGAAGAAGCCCCGGCUAACUCCGUGCCAGCAGCCGCGGUAAUACGGAGGGGGCUAGCGUUGUUCGGAAUCACUGGGCGUAGA